GCCGCUAUGGUGAAAUUUGGUAAACACGCUGCUCUUAGGAAGCAGUGCUACAGCAUCUCGGUUCGAGCCCGAGUAGCGGCA
rnacentral:tRNA from 9 species